GGGUUGCCAAUGUUGUAUCUUAGG
rnacentral:siRNA from 1 species